rnacentral:ncRNA from 1 species
UUUCUUCAGGGCAGGGUGCAAGUCCCUACCGGCGGUAAAGUCCGCGAGCCGGAAGGCAUGAUUCGGUGAGAUUCCGAAACCGACAGUAUAGUCUGGAUGAGAGAAGAA